GAUGAAGAACGCAGCGAAAUGCGAUAAGUAGUGUGAAUUGCAGAAUUCAGUGAAUCAUCGAAUCUUUGAACGCACAUUGCGCCCUUUGGUAUUCCUUAGGGCAUGCCUGUUCGAGCGUCAUCUAAACCUUCAAGCCCUGCUUGGUGUUGGGUGCCUGUCCCGCCUCCGCGCGUGGACUCACCUCAAAUCCAUUGGCGGCCCCCGCGUCGGCCACGAGCGCAGCAGAAACGCGAACUCGUGAGCCCGUCCGGGCGGCUCCCAGAAGCUGACCCCCAAUUUUUGACCUCGGAUCAGGUAGGGAUACCCGCUGAACUUAAGCAUAUCAAUAAGCGGAGGA
rnacentral:misc_RNA from 1 species